rnacentral:rRNA from 1 species
AUUGAACGCUGGCGGCAGGCCUAACACAUGCAAGUCGAGCGGAUGACGGGAGCUUGCUCCUUGAUUCAGCGGCGGACGGGUGAGUAAUGCCUAGGAAUCUGCCUGGUAGUGGGGGACAACGUUUCGAAAGGAACGCUAAUACCGCAUACGUCCUACGGGAGAAAGCAGGGGACCUUCGGGCCUUGCGCUAUCAGAUGAGCCUAGGUCGGAUUAGCUAGUAGGUGAGGUAAUGGCUCACCUAGGCGACGAUCCGUAACUGGUCUGAGAGGAUGAUCAGUCACGAUUGAACUGAGACAGGGUCCAGACUCCUACGGAAAGCAGCGGUGGGGAAUAUUUAACAAUGGGCGAGCGCCUGAUCCAGCCAAGCCGCGUGUGUGAAGAAGGUCUUCAGAUUGUAAAGCUCUCUAGGUUGGGAGGAAGGGCAGUAAGCGAAUACCUUGCUGUUUUGACGUUACCGACAGAAUAAGCACCGACUAACUCUGUGCCAGCAGCCGCCGUAACAC